ACAAUGAAGAGUUUGAUCCUGGCUCAGGAUGAACGCUAGCUACAGGCUUAACACAUGCAAGUCGAGGGGCAUCAGGAAGAAAGCUUGCUUUCUUUGCUGGCGACCGGCGCACGGGUGAGUAACACGUAUCCAACCUGCCCUUUACUCGGGGAUAGCCUUUCGAAAGAAAGAUUAAUACCCGAUAGCAUAAUGAUUCCGCAUGGUUUCAUUAUUAAAGGAUUCCGGUAAAGGAUGGGGAUGCGUUCCAUUAGGUUGUUGGUGAGGUAACGGCCCACCAAGCCUUCGAUGGAUAGGGGUUCUGAGAGGAAGGUCCCCCACAUUGGAACUGAGACACGGUCCAAACUCCUACGGGAGGCAGCAGUGAGGAAUAUUGGUCAAUGGGCGGUAGCCUGAACCAGCCAAGUAGCGUGAAGGAUGAAGGCUCUAUGGGUCGUAAACUUCUUUUAUAUAAGAAUAAAGUGCAGUAUGUAUACUGUUUUGUAUGUAUUAUAUGAAUAAGGAUCGGCUAACUCCGUGCCAGCAGCCGCGGUAAUACGGAGGAUCCGAGCGUUAUCCGGAUUUAUUGGGUUUAAAGGGAGCGUAGGUGGACUGGUAAGUCAGUUGUGAAAGUUUGCGGCUCAACCGUAAAAUUGCAGUUGAUACUGUCAGUCUUGAGUACAGUAGAGGUGGGCGGAAUUCGUGGUGUAGCGGUGAAAUGCUUAGAUAUCACGAAGAACUCCGAUUGCGAAGGCAGCUCACUGGACUGCAACUGACACUGAUGCUCGAAAGUGUGGGUAUCAAACAGGAUUAGAUACCCUGGUAGUCCACACAGUAAACGAUGAAUACUCGCUGUUUGCGAUAUACAGUAAGCGGCCAAGCGAAAGCAUUAAGUAUUCCACCUGGGGAGUACGCCGGCAACGGUGAAACUCAAAGGAAUUGACGGGGGCCCGCACAAGCGGAGGAACAUGUGGUUUAAUUCGAUGAUACGCGAGGAACCUUACCCGGGCUUAAAUUGCAGUGGAAUGAUGUGGAAACAUGUCAGUGAGCAAUCACCGCUGUGAAGGUGCUGCAUGGUUGUCGUCAGCUCGUGCCGUGAGGUGUCGGCUUAAGUGCCAUAACGAGCGCAACCCUUAUCUUCAGUUACUAACAGGUCAUGCUGAGGACUCUGGAGAGACUGCCGUCGUAAGAUGUGAGGAAGGUGGGGAUGACGUCAAAUCAGCACGGCCCUUACGUCCGGGGCUACACACGUGUUACAAUGGGGGGUACAGAAGGCAGCUAGCGGGUGACCGUAUGCUAAUCCCAAAAUCCUCUCUCAGUUCGGAUCGAAGUCUGCAACCCGACUUCGUGAAGCUGGAUUCGCUAGUAAUCGCGCAUCAGCCACGGCGCGGUGAAUACGUUCCCGGGCCUUGUACACACCGCCCGUCAAGCCAUGGGAGCCGGGGGUACCUGAAGUACGUAACCGCAAGGAUCGUCCUAGGGUAAAACUGGUGACUGGGGCUAAGUCGUAACAAGGUAGCCGUACCGGAAGGUGCGGCUGGAACACCUCCUUU
rnacentral:rRNA from 1 species